rnacentral:rRNA from 1 species
GAUGAACGCUAGCGAUAGGCUUAACACAUGCAAGUCGAGGGGCAGCAUGGUCUUAGCUUGCUAAGACUGAUGGCGACCGGCGCACGGGUGCGUAACGCGUAUGCAACUUGCCUCACAGAGGGGGAUAACCCGUCGAAAGACGGACUAAUACCGCGUACACUUGGGAUAGGGCAUCCUGACCCAAGGAAAUGAAAUUCGCUGUGAGAUAGGCAUGCGUCCCAUUAGCUAGUUGGUGAGGUAACGGCUCACCAAGGCGACGAUGGGUAGGGGAACUGAGAGGUUGAACCCCCACACUGGUACUGAGACACGGACCAGACUCCUACGGGAGGCAGCAGUGAGGAAUAUUGGGCAAUGGGCGAGAGCCUGAACCAGCCAAGUCGCGUGAAGGAUGACUGUCUUAUGGAUUGUAAACUUCUUUUAUACGGGAAUAACAAGAGUCACGUGUGGCUCCCUGCAUGUACCGGAUGAAUAAGCAUCGGCUAACUCCGUG